AUGGUGGUGAGUGGUGGAUCCUGGUGGUGGAUGGCUGGGUGGCGCGGUGGUGCUGGUGAUGGCGCGGUGGCGCGACGCCACGCCGGCCUGGCCGCGGCGGCGGCCGGAGGUGGAGAAGAAAGGGAUCGGGGGAGAGAGAUGAGAUGCCAGGCCUCCAAGGGGAUCGGGCUGCAGCUAGGGAUUUUGAUCCUCUCCUCAGAUCUGUCCUUUUGCACUUCGGCCCUUCUACUUCUCUUCCUACUUCACAAGUUGAUCCCUCCACUCUUUCUUUCUUUCCCUUGUCUUGUUCCUCAAUACUUUAUAGACAGAAACUUGUAG
rnacentral:rRNA from 1 species